AUUGAACGCUGGCGGCAGGCCUAACACAUGCAAGUCGAGCGGAGCGGCGGAAGGGUGAGUAAUGCCUAGGAAUCUGCCUGGUAGCGGGGGAUAACGUCCGGAAACGGGCGCUAAUACCGCAUACUAUCAGAUGAGACUAGGUCGGAUUAGCUAGUUGGUGGGGUAAAGGCCUACCAAGGCGACGAUCCGAAACUGGUCUGAGAGGAUGAUCAGUCACACUGAAACUGAGACACGGUCCAGACGCCUACGGGAGGCAGCAGUGGGAAAUAUUGGACAAUUGGCUAAAGCCUGAUCCAGCCAUGCCGCGUGUUUGAAGAAGGUCUUCAGAUUGGAAAGCACGUUAAGUUGCGAUGCGUUACCAACAGAAUAAGCACCGGCUAACUUCGUGCCAGCAGCCGCGGUAAUAC
rnacentral:rRNA from 1 species